rnacentral:snRNA from 1 species
UUGCCACACUUCUGAGCU